rnacentral:rRNA from 1 species
GAUGAACGCUAGCGGGAGGCCUAACACAUGCAAGCUGAGCGGUAGAGUUUCUUCGGAGACUUGAGAGCGGCGUACGGGUGCGGAACACGUGUGCAACCUGCCUUUAUCAGGGGGAUAGCCUUUCGAAAGGAAGAUUAAUACCCCAUAAUAUAUAGAGUGGCAUCACUUUAUAUUGAAAACUGAGGUGGAUAAAGAUGGGCACGCGCAAGAUUAGAUAGUUGGUGAGGUAACGGCUCACCAAGUCGAUGAUCUUUAGGGGGCCUGAGAGGGUGAUCCCCCACACUGGUACUGAGACACGGACCAGACUCCUACGGGAGGCAGCAGUGAGGAAUAUUGGACAAUGGGUUAGCGCCUGAUCCAGCCAUCCCGCGUGAAGGACGACGGCCCUAUGGGUUGUAAACUUCUUUUGUACAGGGAUAAACCUAUUUACGUGUAAAUAGCUGAAGGUACUGUACGAAUAAGCACCGGCUAACUCCGUGCCAGCAGCCGCCGUAA